UAAAGGCCCAAUUUUGGCCCAACUUAAACCAACCUAAUCCCAACCCAAACACAAAAAAUAAAUAAAUAAAUAAAUAAAAACCUUGGCCACCUACUCCACCACCUUUGUUGGCCACCCACCUUAGCCACCAACUCCACCACCCUUGGCCACCUAAACCACCCCAACCACUCUACUUGUAAAAUUUGGCUAUAAAAGCCAUUCAAGACUUUGUUUUUAGAGGGUAGGUUUUUGGUUUUUUGGAGAAGGAUUGUUCUUUAUUUUGGAGGAGGUUUUUUUUUGUUUUUUUUGGAGGUGUUUUUUUUUUUGGAAAAAAUGUUAUUUUUGUUUCUUGGAAAGGCUAGUUUUUGGAGAUUAAUCAAAGAUCAAAGCAAAAGAGGUUUCUUUUGUCUAUUCUUAUCUUUAGUUCUUUGUUUGUUUAUUGUUUUCCUUUCAAUUUUAUUUUGUUUUUUUUAUACGAAAGUAAAAAUAAAAGUAAGAAGCUUACCCAUAUUUUCAUUAUCGAAAAAGGUUUUUUUGAGGUCCGGCCGCCGUGUACGGUGGCGCCGAUGGCGGCCCGUGGGGGUCCAUGACCGAAGCAAAGCCGGACCAACGGCCGGAUUUAGAAAAGAGGGAGAAAGAGAGUUGAGAGCUUUGUUUUAUUAUUUUAUUAUUUUUACUAUUAUUUAUAUUAUUAUUAUUAUUUCUCAUGUAUAUAUUAUUUUUUAUAUUAUUAUUAUAUUAUAUAUGCCCUCUCCAUAUUUAUUUAUAUUAUUACUAUCAUUAUUGUUACUUUUUAUUAUUUUUUAUUUCUAACUACUAUUAUUAUAUAUAUGUAUUAUUGUUUGUAUUAUUAUUAUUAUCACCCCUAUUGUUAUUACUUUACUUUUGUAUUCUAAUAUAUUAUUAAUAUUACUUAUAUUUUUAUUAUUUUUGCUAUCACUAUUACUAUUAUAUAUUAGUGUAUAUUUUUAUGUAUAUAUAUAUUUUAUAUAUAGUAUUAUUUUUAUUACUUUAAUUUAAUAUUUUUAUUAUAUUUGCUUUUUGUAUUUCUAUAUUUAUUAUUAUUAUAUAGUAGUGUGUAUUUCUAUUAUAUACAUAUAUAUAUACAUUUAUAUAUAGUAUUAUUGUUUACUUUACUUUAAUAUUAUUCUUAUUAUCAUUAUAUCCAACCCAAUAAUAAUUCUUUCAUAAAAGUAAUAUUCCGUAUUUGGUAAUUCGAGACAAUCGUGCCCUAACUUAUUGGGUUUCGAUUUUUCUCCUUUAACCUAAAUAACGGAAUACUCUUUUAAAUCGUGACAUGAGUUUUGAAAAAUGUUUAUUCUCGGAGAUACGAGGUGUUGUUCCCUAACUUACUGGGUAUGGCAUUUCGUUACCUCGAAAUAAGAUUUUUGCAAGUAAAGGCAAUAUUCGGUGUUUGGGAAUUCGAGGAAACGUACCCUAGCUUACUGGGUUUCGAUUUUCCUCGUUCACCUUAACUAACUGAAUAACCUUUUGAAAUACACGAAUUUUUAUAUAAAAGGCAAGCUCGUUCUCGAAAAUUCAAGAUGUCGUGUCCUAACUUACUGGAUGUGACAUUUUAUAUUGUGAGACGAGAAGGUCCUUAACAUUUGAGCAUUUUCUUUACAAAGAGGGAUCGUAUUUUAAAUUCUUUCAAGUUUUCAAAUUUUCGACACUAAGACACUAAUUAAUCAACUAGGUACCAAUUUUGGGCGUAUCGAGGGUGCUAAUCCUUCCUCGUGCGUAACCGACUCUCGAACUCAUUUUUCUGAAUUUCGUAGACCAAAAUCGUUGUUUUAAUAAAAUUAAAUCAUUUAUUAAAAACAACCACUUUUUGAGGUGACCCAAUCACACCUCGUCAAAAAAAGGAUUGGUGGCGACUCCCGUUUUCAUUCUUUUUUUCAAAAUCCAAGUCGACCCCGUUUUUCAAUCCGAAAAAUGGUGUCAACAGCUUGGCGACUCCACUGGGGACUUUUUCAAAAUAAGUGAGUCAAGCCACGAGUUGAUUAUUUUUUGUCUUUUUGUCGAAAGUUGAAAAUUUGAUUUAAAUAUACGAUCUUCUCAUUGCAUUUCAUUUGUUUUGAGCUAUAGUUUUCAUCAUGUUUCGUAUUUUAAACUUUUAUAUCUUUGCAUUGCAUUGCAUGACCGUUGGUCACACCUUUUAAGUGGGAGUGAGAAGCUACUCCUUCGUGAGGUUUUCACCUCCGUGCAGGAUAGUGGAUCGCUUUCGGGAUACAUCCGUACCUAUGUCUUCGUGAGAUUUUCAUCUCCGUGCAGCCAUAGGGAAAUGUAUUCCCCUGAACCGAACUCGGUCUAUAUGAGCCUAUAAUGGGUGAAGAUCGAGGAAUCUGCUGGUUCAGGUACCUUUGUUUUAGAACCAAACCCCAUGUAGUAAACCUUAGGAACUCACCUUAAGUAGAACUACACCAAACCCUAGUAGAUACCCUGAUGUGCUUUUAUUCUUUUUGAAUUGUCUUGGAUUAUAUGUUUAUAUCUGGUACUGAUAUUUGUUGUUUUACUUUGGAUGCAUGACAUUUCAACUGCAUGGCAUUUCAUUAUUUCAAGGCGUUGGUUCAUAUUCGGUUUCUAGAAAGAAAGCUUAUCAUGGAAAGAAGGUUUCUUGAUAAGGUGGAAGAUAAUGCGGCAGUCCGAAUUUGGUCGGAAACGACACAGCAAGAGAAAGGGGAUAGUUUGGCUGAAGGAUAUAUAUCAGAGCUAUGGGACUUUACCCGCAUCAGCAUAACCCAGAACGAUUUACAAGAGUUGAAAGGAAUUUGGGACCAUUGGGACGAGGAGGCCAGACAGUUGUUUUAUUCCCAUUACGGGGACUUGCCGUACCUGCUAGAUAUGAAGGUAGAUAAGCACCUAUUCCGGGCUCUCGCACAAUUUUGGAAUCCCGCCUAUAGUUGUUUUUCGUUCGGGAAAGUUGACUUGGUGCCUACGAUAGAAGAAUAUAUGGCUUUACUUCAGUGUUCAAAGAGUCAAGUCGACAGAAUCUACUCAAGAGCCGCAAAUGUACCCUUUUUGAGAAGGUUAAUGAACAUAACAGGCAUGAGUGAGCAGUGGGUUACGGCCCGAAUUAAACAAAAAGGGGAUAACAAGUGCAUUUCUUGGAAGAGUUUGAAAGAUGUGGCUUUGGUGCACCCGGAUAUAAAAAAGAGGGUAGAUAUCUUCGCCCUAAGCAUAUAUGGCUUAGUUAUCUUUCCUAGAGCUUUGGGGCAUAUUGGUAAGGCGGUUGCUGAUUUGUUCGACCGCCUUGAUAAAGGAGUUACCCCGGUUCCAGCAAUUUUAGCGGAGACAUUCAGAUCAUUGAGUACCUGUCGGCGAGCGGGCGAAGGCAAGUUCAUUGGAUGUGCACAGUUGUUACUUGCGUGGUUCCACAGUCAUUUUUGGAAAGUGGAUAAGGUGUCAUAUCGGGUCUUCUCUGAAAACUAUUCGCCACUAAAGGAGAUGAUAGCUACACCAAGAAGGGACGACAUUUCAAUGGAAAAAUGGAUGGCAAUUCUUCAAAACUUGCAUGAAGAAGACAUUGAAUGGAGAGCUCCGUGGUUACUUCCAGACGAAAUUUUGUACCGAUGCGGUAGUUUUGAUUGGGUCCCUUUGCUUGAAAUCUGGGGAGCUAUUGGCUAUGCCCCGUUAUUAGUGCUCAGACAGUACAGAUCAAGACAGUUUAUACCCGCAACCCAGGGGCUGGCCGAGUGUGAAUUCUCGUAUGGGGGUGAUGGCUACAAAAAGAGGAUUCGAGAGAUAUCCAAUGCGUGGAAUCAGACUCGCCAAAUGAAGCGAUUAGCUGUAGGACCAAGGACAACCCCCGAAUAUGAAGAAUGGAGGGUCAGAAGAAUCAAUGACAAUGUCCCCAAAUCAAGCCCCGAAGGCAGUCAUUCGAUAGAGGAGCACUUACGGGUCAUCCCUUCUGAACUAGAAAUUUUGAAGCAAGAUUUUGAAAGAAGAAAUGCAGAGUUGGAAAAAUAGAUAGAGCAAAUGGAGGAAGAAAAAACAAACUUAAGGUUGGAUGUAGAUGUCCAGAAGCUCGAGAUGGAGCGAUUAAGAAAAGGAAAAGCUAGGGCUGAAGAAGAUCUGGACAGUCUGAAAACAGAUUACAAGAAGUUGCGAUCAUCAAUGAGAACCGCCGGGUUGGGAAAGACUUCUGAACAAUGGCGCAAGGAAGUUCAAGAAGAAAAGAACAAAGCUGAUAGAUGGGAAACGAGGUUUCAAGAAGUUCAAACCCAGAAUGAGACUUUAAAGAAGAGUCUGUCAGAGAAUCAGAAAGAAAAAGGGGAACUAGAAAAUAGAGUGUCCGAGUUAGAAGAAUCUCUCCAUCGGCAUCGAAAUCGAAAUUCUGUGAUGGAAUUAAAAGCAAGCCUAAGUAGAAUUGAAGAGAUGAAACGAAGAAUUGAAGAGUUAGAAGCAGCAUUGCGAAGUUGCGAGAUGCGGAUUGAGCACAUGAGAUCUAAUGAAGAUUGUCAAACCGAGCAGUUGCACUACUUUCAGAACCAAGUAAUAGAUAGAGAUCAAAUCAUGGGAGAAGCCGUGCUUCAAAUCCGAGAGGUGGCUGAUCACUUGCAGACGUUAGCAGUACAAGCUGAUGUGUUAAGCGUGAAGUACGAAUUAGAGUCGAGUCGAGGACAGGAGCUAGCCUCGUUGCUUAGGAGGAUUAGAAUUUUGAGUUUUAGGGCUAAGUCGUAUAUGUAAUCCACCUUAUGUAAGAAAGUUUAUUUUCUAGUAAAGUUUUCAUAAUGAAAUUGAACUAGAAUUAACGCCUUUUGCAUUCAUUUCAUGCAUUGCAUUAUAUGCAUUAAUGACCAUUAAAAGACCCUAACUAAAUAAAAUUAUUUCAGUUAACCUGGAAAACCGUCACUCUUACGGAACUCGAGCGAAGUCAAGAAACAUGGAUCAAAGACUAGAAAAACUUGAGCAGCUCCAAAGAGAUAUGCAAGAUCAGAUAGAAGAGCGGUUGGAAAAGAUUCAGCGAGAGAUGCGAGAAUCCCAAGACGACAUGAUGGCAAAGUUAACGCAACUGUUGAAAGGAGGAAAAGACAAGGGAAAGGACCCUAUUGUUAAUGUUGAAGAAGGAAAUAGUGAUGAACCCCUUUACCCUCCAGGCUUUACCCCUCUGCACGCGCAUACUCAAGCUGAAAUGUAUCCACAAAGACCCUCUGUUACAAUUAGACCCCAACAAUUCCAAACGAGUCCUCCAAUCGGAAUAAGUAACAAUUUCGGAGAGAAUCCCACCAAUCUCAUAGUCCCUGACCUCGAUGACGUGGCAGAAGUGGAAAAGACGAAAGUGGAUCUAUCAAAGCAAUUGGAAGACCGAUGUAAAUGGCUGGAGGAAAAGUUUAAGGCCAUGGAAAGUGCUGAUUACCACCGAGGAAUGGACGCUAAAGAUCUGAGCUUGGUGCCUGAUUUAAUCCUCCCUCCUAAGUUUAAAAUGCCAGAGUUUGAAAAAUAUGACGGGACAAGUUGUCCCGAUGCUCAUAUCACUAUGUUUUGCCGAAGAAUGACCGGGUACAUCAACAACGAGCAGUUGUUGGUUCACUGUUUUCAGGAUAGUUUGAUCGGGUCAGCGGCUUGAUGGUACAAUCAAUUGAGUCGAGCUGAAAUCCACUCUUGGAAAGAUUUGGCGCAGGCCUUUAUAAAACAGUACAGACAUGUGAUGGACAUAGCACCCGAUCGAAUUGUAUUGCAAAAUAUGGAAAAGAAAACUAAUGAGAGCUUUCGCCAGUAUGCUCGAAGAUGGAGGGAGGUAGCAGCACAAGUUCAACCACCACUUUUAGAAAAAGAGAUAACCAUGCUUUUUAUCAAUACUUUGAAAGCUCCAUUUCUCAAUCACAUGCUGGGUAGUGCCACCAAAAGCUUUUCAGACAUAGUGAUGUCUGGAGAAAUGAUAGAAAAUGCCAUAAGGAGUGGCAAGAUAGAAGCAGGAGAAAGUGCUAAAAGGUCAGCACCGAGAAAGAAGGAGCAUGAGAUAAACAACACAAGCAUGUUUAACAAGGACCAUUCUAGAUCAAUCACGGUGGGACAAGCCAGAGCAACAACCACUAAUCAGCAAGGUUCUUCGAGACGGGAGUCCAAUUCAAGGCCAAAUAUAGAAAGACCUCAAUUCACACCCAUCCCGGUGACGUAUAAAGAAUUGUAUCAGAAUUUAUUUGAUGCACAUGUGGUAUCUCCAUUUUACCUAAAACCCAUGCAACCUCCGUACCCCAAAUGGUAUGACACAAACUCCCAAUGCGAGUACCACGCGGGGAUGAAGGGGCACUCGAUUGAGAACUGCACUGCAUUCAAGAAGUUAGUGGAGAAACUUGUCAAUAUGGGGAUCGUAAAGAUUGGCGACUCAUCGGGGCCAAAUGUAGCAGAAAAUCCGUUGCCCAAUCAUGACGAUAAUAGGGUAAACGCGAUAAGUGAGAAUGAAGGAAGAAGAGUCAAAGCCAACGUGGCAGAGAUAAAAACCCCUCUUGGAUGGGUUUGGAAACAAAUGGUAAAAAGAGGUCUUAUCAAGCAAGAUUCAAUAGAAAGGCCUGAACAAGCAAAGAGAUUUUGUGAGUUCCACGCAGAAGAAGAUCAUGACAUCCAGGAAUGCACCGAGUUCAGAAUCGUGGUGCAAAACUUUAUGGAUAGCAAAGAAAUAGAGUUUUAUGAAGAAAUCAAAGGGUUAAAAGAGGAAGAAGUUUGUGCUACAGGAGAAGGAUCUGCAAGGAGAACCCAAGAGCUUCGUCAUCCAGUGGUUAUCAUUUCAAAGCCAAUGAACAAAGAAUCUGGAAUACAAAUAGGGCCAAAAGUUAUAAUCCAAAAACCUGUAUCCUUUUCUUACAAGGAUAACAAAAAGGUUCCUUGGAGUUACGAUUGCAAUGUGACGAUUCCAGGAAAAGAGAGCUCGAUAAAUGCUUCAGAAAAGAAGGAAGGAUUCUAUACACGAAGUGGAAAGCGCUAUGAUCCGGCAGACGCGAUAGUGGAAUCUGGAAAAGAAAAAGCUUUAGCAGUUGAGCUAGGAAAAACAAAAACAGACGAAAUUGAAUCGAGUGUCAAUCAGCCGGUAACUGAAAAUCAAGCCAAAGAAUUUCUAAAAUUCUUGAAACAUAGCGAGUACAGCGUGGUAGAACAAUUACAUAAGCAACCGGCUCGUAUCUUCGUACUUGAGUUGCUUAUAAGUUCAGAGAUACAUCGUAAUGCGUUGAUUAAGGUGCUAAAUGAAACUUAUGUCACUAAAGAUAUCUCGGUGGAUAAGUUGGACCGCUUGGUUAAUAAUAUCAAUGCCGAUAAUUUCAUCUUUUUUAAUGAUGAUGAAAUACCGCCAGGGGGAAGAGGAUCUACCAAAGCAUUACACAUCACUGCUCGUUGCGGGGAGUAUAUGUUAGCUGGAGUGCUAAUUGACAAUGGAUCAGCCUUGAAUGUUUUACCCCUAUCUACCUUAAGUAGGUUACCGGUGGAUAACUCUCACAUGAGAUCAUGCCAAAAUAUAGUGAGAGCAUUUGAUGGUACCGAAAGAAAGGUGAUAGGAAGAAUAGAAGUACCUCUUUUAAUUGGCCCAAAUACAUACGAUGUGGACUUCCUAGUGAUAGAUAUCAAGCCGUCAUAUAAUUACUUAUUAGGAAGACCCUGGAUUCAUUCAGCAGGGGCGGUGCCUUCAUCAUUGCACCAGAAGUUAAAAUUGGUAAUAGAAGGCCGGUUAAUUACAAUUGACGCCGAGGAAGAUAUCAUUGCAUUGGUAACCAAUGAUACACCAUAUUUGGGAAUAGACGACGAGGCAGUUGAAUGUUCUUUUCGAUCUUUGGAGUUCGUAAAUGCAACCUUUGUCAUAGGGGGAAAGAAGAUUCCGACGCCCAGCAUGUCUAAAGCCACAAGGAUGGGAUUACAAGCGACAGUUGGGAAAGGAGCUGUGCCUGGAAGAGGACUUGGAAGAUGCCUUCAGGGAAGGAUGGGGGCACCAGUAGUGAAAUACAAACAAGAUCGUUUUGGUUUAGGAUUUAAACCAAAUACCAAACAGAGAAGGAAAGAGUUAGAAAAGAGACAAGAUAGAAGGAAGGUGCGUUUGAACGGAAAAGAAGUCGACUGGGAACCUAUAGCUUUCCCCCACAUAUCCAGGACAUUCAUGUCGGGAGGAACUAUGUAUUCUGAACUGAGGGCUCCAAGAAAGAAGACCGCAGAGGAAAUGUUAAGAAACUUAAGCAUCAAUGCCAUAUGUGAAGAAGAAUUUGAAGGAGGAAGUACGUCAGGCAUCUAUCCCGUUGAACCUGGGAGUGUUUUAAACAAUUGGACUGCGGAAGAAAUGCCUGAAGUUUUUAGAGCUUUUCCAGAGUCCCAAGAUAUCAAUGAUAUGAGUGACUCUACUAUGGACUUAGAAAAUCUUUUUGAACGAGAUAUGUGUCCAGAGGAAUCUCAAGAUUUUGAAGAUAACACAGAUUGCAACCUAUCUCCGGACUUGUUGAAAAUGGUAGAGCAGGAAGAGAAACAGAUUCUACCCCACGAAGAGACGAUAGAGACAGUGAUCUUGGAAGAGGGAAAGGUGUUAAAGAUUGGUACCCGCAUAGCUGAAGAAGUAAAACAAGACCUCAUUGAAUUGCUGCGAGAGUUCAAAGAUGUCUUCGCAUAGUCAUACCAAGAUAUGCCGGGGUUAAGUACUGACAUCGUGGUUCACCUACUUCCUAUAAAGGAGGAUUGCAAACCAUUUCAACAAAAACUCCGAAGAAUGAGGCCUGAUAUCGUGUUAAAAAUAAAAGAAGAGGUGCAAAAGCAAUUCGACGCUGGGUUCCUGAAGGUGGUCAAAUACUCCGAGUGGGUAGGUAACAUUGUUCCUGUCCCUAAGAAAGAUGGGAAGAUACGAAUGUGUAUGGAUUAUAGAGAUCUAAAUAAGGCUAGCCCAAAAGAUAACUUUCCCUUGCCGCAUAUCGACGCCUUGGUAGACAAUACAGCAGGACAUUUGCUGUUUUCUUUCAUGGAUGGCUUCUCGGGAUAUAACCAAGUUAAGAUGCAUCCCGAGGAUAUGAGGAAAACUACGUUCAUAACCAUAUGGGGAACUUUUUGUUAUAAGGUGACGCCAUUUGGGUUGAAAAAUGCAGGGGCAACGUAUCAGAGGGCCAUGGUAACACUGUUCCAUGACAUGAUGCAUAAGGAGUUAGAAGUCUAUGUUGAUGACAUGAUUGCAAAAUCUAAAACGAAAAAGGAACAUGUGCAGGUCCUUAAGAAAUUAUUUAUGAGAUUGAGGAAAUUCCAGCUAAAGCUAAAUCCAGCAAAAUGCACAUUCGGGGUCAGAUCAGGAAAAUUGCUUGGAUUCGUGGUCAGUGAAAGAGGAAUUGAGAUUGAUCCUGACAAAGUAAGAGCAAUACAAGAAUUACCCCCGCCGCGUACUCAAAAGGAGGUUCGAGGUUUUCUAAGAAGGCUGAACUAUAUUGCUCGGUUCAUCUCACAGCUAACUGAGAAAUGCGACCCCAUAUUUCGCCUCCUCAAGAAACAUAAUCCAGGUGUAUGGGAUGAGGAAUGUCAAAAAACUUUUGAAAAAGUCAAACAUUACUUAUCCAACGCCCCAGUACUGAUGCCACCCUGCCCAGACAAACCGCUCAUACUGUAUUUGGCAGUAUUUGAAAAUUCCAUGGGAUGCGUGCUUGGUCAACAUGACGAAUCAGGACGAAAGGAAAGAGCGAUCUACUAUCUCAGUAAGAAGUUCACCGAAUGCGAAACAAGAUAUUCGCCAAUCGAGAAAUUAUGUUGUACUUUAAUUUGGACAACUCGGAGACUGAGACAGUACAUGUUGUACCAUACGACCUGGUUAAUCUCCAAAUUAGACCCUCUGAAAUACUUGAUGGAGUCAGCCGCUCUGAAUGGAAGAAUGGCUCGACGGCAAAUUCUUCUAUCUGAAUUUGACGUAGUCUAUGUGAACCAGAAGGCGGUCAAAGGGAGUGCAAUAGCGGAAUUCCUAGCAAGUAGGGCUCUCGAUGAUUAUGAGCCAUUGAACUUCGAUUUCCCAAAUGAGGAUUUGAUGUAUGCCGCAACCGCAAAGAAAGAUUUCCAAGAAGGUGGUCCUUGGAAGUUGAGUUUUGACGGAGCUUCAAAUGCUAUAGGCAACGGAAUUGGGGCAGUACUCGUGUCCCCUAGUGGAGAUUAUUAUCCUUUCACUAGCAAAUUGGACUUUGACUGCACAAAUAAUAUGGCUGAGUAUGAAGCUUGCAUUAUGGGCAUUCGGGCAGCCAUAAAGCGGAAAAUUAAGGUGCUAGAGGUAUACGGGGACUCUGCAUUAGUAAUUUACCUGCUCAAGGGGGAAUGGGAAACAAGAGACCCGAAGUUGGUUCGCUAUCGAAAAUUGGUUAUGGAAUUGAUCGAGGAAUUUGAUAGUGUCACCUUUAGUUACCUCCCACGAGAUGAAAACCAGAUGGCAGAUGCUUUGGCCACUUUGGCCUCCAUGUUUAAAGUGAACAAAUUAGAAGAUAUGAAGCCUAUCCAGAUCAGCAUCUAUGAGGCUCCAGCCCAUUGUUGCAACAUUGACAAUGAAGAGGGAAAGGAUGAUCACCCUUGGUACCAUGACAUAUUGCGAUAUGUGAAGAGUCGCGAGUACCCUAACCAUGCGACAGAAAAUGAUAAGAAGACAUUAAGGAGAUUAGCCAUUGACUAUGUCCUUGAUGGGGAAAUUUUGUAUAAAAAAGGAAAAGAUCAAGUACUGUUAAGGUGUGUGGAUGCUGUUGAGGCAAAGGAAAUUUUGGAAGAAGUGCAUGAAGGUAUCUGCGGAACGCAUGCCAAUGGCUUCACGAUGGCCAGACAAAUUAUGAGAUUUGGGUACUAUUGGUCCACCAUGGAAGGGGAUUGCAUUAAUUAUGCCAAGAGGUGCCAUAAAUGUCAAAUUUAUGGUGACAAAAUGCACGCACCACCUUCACCACUUCAUGUUAUGGUUUCUCCAUGGCCUUUCUCCAUGUGGGGAAUGGACGUUAUCGGGCCAAUAUCUCCAAAAGCUUCCAAUGGGCAUCGUUUUAUCUUUGUGGUUAUUGAUAACUUCACUAAAUGGGUGGAGGCGGCUUCAUAUGCAAAUGUCACGAAGUCGGCAGUUAGCAAGUUUCUGAAAAAAGAGAUCAUAUGUCGAUACGGGAUGCCUGAAAGGAUCAUAUCCGAUAAUGCGCUGAACUUAAACAACAACUCAAUAGCGAAAGUUUGUAGUUAGUUCAAGAUCAGACACCACAAUUCGUCACCGUACCGUCCAAAAAUGAAUGGUGCCGUGGAAGCAGCUAACAAAAACAUCAAGAAAAUUAUAGGAAAAAUGACUGAAACCUACAAAGAUUGGCACGAGAAAUUACCUUUUGCUCUCCUGGCAUAUCGCACUUCUGUUAGAACCUCUACCGGGGCAACACCAUUUUCUUUAGUCUAUGGGAUGGAAGCAGUUUUACCCAUAGAAGUUGAAAUUCCUUCUCUCCGAGUAUUAACUGAACUAAAGUUGGAUGAGGCUGAAUGGAUUCAAUCCAGAUAUGACCAGCUAAACUUGGUAGAAGAAAAGAGGUUAAAAGCUAUUCGUCAUGGUCAGAUGUAUCAGAAACGAAUGAUGCGAGCUUACAACAAAAAAGUUCGUCCCAGAGAAUUUUACGAGGGGGACCUGGUGCUGAAAAAGAUUCUUCCUCUACAAAAGGAUUUUAGAGGAAAGUGGAUGCCAAAUUGGGAAGGUCCUUAUGUGGUAAAAAAGGCCUUUUCAGGAGGAGCUUUAAUCCUGAGCGAAAUGGAUGGUAAAAGCCUGUCAAAUCCUGUAAAUUCAGACUCAGUCAAGAAGUAUUUCACUUAAAAAGGGGGCAUUCAAAAAAAAAAAAAAAGGGGGAGAGGCCAAGGUGAAAACCCGCAAAAGGCACCUUGAGACCAAAGGGGAUUUGAGUUGAAAACCUGAAAAAGGCGGCUCGAAUUUUGAAGAAGCGUGAGGUGAACGGAAUGGCUCGAAUUUUUGAGCAGGAUCUGAGGCAUGUGGUGGUCUUACUACACCUGAAUCGCAAGAAGGAGUAGGUGACAUCUUGGGGUCAUAUUCCCCAGAGAACAGAUCAAAGAAACAGAUCCUAUACCCUUGAAGUUGCAAUGGGAGGGAUUAAAGUCAUUAAAGUAGAUCUUGUCUUCAUGUAUUGGCGUGAAGCAGAUCGAAGAUAGCAGGUCCUAUCUUCCUAUAUUGAUAGGAAGUGGAUCCAGGAUGCAGAUCUUGUCUUCCCAUAUUGGUGGCGAAGUAGAUCGCAGAAAGCAGAUCUUGUCUUCAUGUAUUGGCGUGAAGUAGAUCGAAGGUAGCAGAUCCUAUCUUUCUAUAUUGGUAGGAAGUGGAUCGAAGAUGCAGAUCUUGUCUUCCCAUAUUGGUGGCGAAGUAGAUCGCAGAAAGUAGAUCUUGUCUUCAUGUAUUGGCGUGAAGUAGAUCGAAGAUAGCAGGUCCUAUCUUCCUAUAUUGAUAGGAAGUGGAUCCAAUAUGCAGAUCUUGUCUUCCCAUAUUGGUGGCGAAAUAGAUCGCAGAAAGCAGAUCUUGUCUUCAUGUAUUGGCGUGAAGUAGAUCGAAGAUAGCAGGUCCUAUCUUCCUAUAUUGAUAGGAAGUCGAUCCAAGAUGCAGAUCUUGUCUUCCCAUACUGGUGGUAAAGUAGAUUGAAGAUUGCAGAUCUUGCCUUCCUGUAUUUGGCAGCGAAGCAGAUUAAAGAUGGCAGAUUUUACCUCCCUGACCACAGUGGAGUACACUGAAGCCGAUAAUUCUAUCUCCCUGUAUUUGGCAGUGGAAUAGAUUGAAUAUUGCAGAUCUUACCUUCCUGUAUUCGGCAGUGAAGCAGAUCGAAGAUGGCAGAUUUUACCUCCCUGACUACAGUGGAGUACAUUGAAGCCGAUAACUCUAUCUCACUGUAUCUGGCAGUGGAAUAGAUUGAAGAUUGCAGAUCUUGCCUUCCUGUAUUAGGCAGCGAAGCAGAUCGAAGAUGGCAGAUUUUACCUCCCUGACCACAGUGGAGUACACUGAAGCCGAUAAUUCUAUCUCCCUGUAUUUGGCAGUGGAAUAGAUUGAAGAUUGCAGAUCUUGCCUUCCUAUAUUUGGCAGCGAAGCAGAUCAAAGAUGGCAGAUUUUACCUCCCUGACCACAGUGGAGUACAUUGAAGCCGAUAACUCUAUCUCCCUGUAUCUGGCAGUGGAAUAGAUUGAAUAUUGCAGAUCUUGCCUUCCUGUAUUCGGCAGCGAAGCAGAUUGAAGAUGGCAGAUUUUACCUCCCUGACCACAGUGGAGUACAUUGAAGCCGAUAACUCUAUCUCCCUGUAUCUGGCAGUGGAAUAGAUUGAAUAUUGCAGAUCUUGCCUUCCUGUAUUCGGCAGCGAAGCAGAUCGAAGAUGGCAGAUUUUACCUCCCUGACUACAGUGGAGUACAUUGAAGCCGAUAACUCUAUCUCACUGUAUCUGGCAGUGGAAUAGAUUGAAGAUUGCAGAUCUUGCCUUCCUGUAUUAGGCAGCGAAGCAGAUCGAAGAUGGCAGAUUUUACCUCCCUGUGACUACAGUGGAGUACAUUGAAGCCGAUAACUCUAUCUCCCUGUAUCUGGCAGUGGAAUAGAUUGAAGAUUGCAGAUCCUGCCUUCCUAUAUUGGUAGGAAGUGGAUUGAAAACAGACUCUAUCUCCCUGUAUUUAGCAGUAGAAUAGAUUACAGGUCGAAGAUGGCGGAUUUUACCUCUCCGAUUACAGUGGAGUACAUUAAAGCCAGUAGUUCUAUCUCCUUGGGCAACAGUGGAAUAGAUCGAAGAUUACAAUCUUAUCUCCCUAAGCAGUAGUGGAGUAGAUCGCAUUAAGUCUUAUCUCCCUAAGCAGUAGUGGAGCAGAUAAAACCAUAGAUCUUAUUUCCCUAAGCAAUAGUGAAGCAGAUCGCAUCAAGUCUUAUCUCCCUAAGUAGUAGUGGAGCAGACUAAAAACACAAAUCUCAUCCCCAUGGAGUCGUAGCAGAGUAGAUUGAAGCUACAAGGCGUAUCUGAAGUUGCAGUAGAGUGGAUCGAAGCAACAAGACGUAGCGGACUGGAAUAAGGCUACUGGAAGAAGAUGAGCACCAAAAAGUCAAGACUCGGCAAGACCGGGCAAAAUUGGCCCUUUUGAUGUCUUUGCUCUAUUCUCGUUACACGAAAAUGAGCAAAGAGGGGCAGCUGUAAAGGCCCAAUUUUGGCCCAACUUAAACCAACCUAAUCCCAACCCAAACACAAAAAAUAAAUAAAUAAAUAAAUAAAAACCUUGGCCACCUACUCCACCACCUUUGUUGGCCACCCACCUUAGCCACCAACUCCACCACCCUUGGCCACCUAAACCACCCCAACCACUCCACUUGUAAAAUUUGGCUAUAAAAGCCAUUCAAGACUUUGUUUUUAGAGGGUGGGUUUUUGGUUUUUUGGAGAAGGAUUGUUCUUUGUUUUGGAGGAGGUUUUUUUUGUUUUUU
rnacentral:lncRNA from 1 species